rnacentral:rRNA from 1 species
UACGUAGGUGGCAAGCGUUGUCCGGAAUUAUUGGGCGUAAAGCGCGCGCAGGCGGUCCUUUAAGUCUGAUGUGAAAGCCCACGGCUCAACCGUGGAGGGUCAUUGGAAACUGGGGGACUUGAGUACAGAAGAGGAAAGCGGAAUUCCACGUGUAGCGGUGAAAUGCGUAGAUAUCUGGAGGAACACCGGUGGCGAAGGCGGCAUCCUGGACCAACACUGACACUGAGGAGCGAAAGCCAGGGGAGCAAACGGG